CUUCUAACAGCAUUUAAACUCAUCUGUAUUCAGGACAUCCUGCAAAAACCUUUUUUUUUGGUGAGGAGUUCAUGUAUGCUGUCUCUGCUGAAGAUCAGGAGCUGUACAACAAGGGAGGAAUCCAGCUGUUCAUUCAAACUGUUUGAGGACUCCUUGGCUGCUCUGUUUGCACCUGAUUGUGGAUUACAGAGCAUCGGAUCAAGACUGAAUUUCACAGCAAGCAGCUGAGUGACCUGGGAGAUGAGUUUCAGCUUUAAAAAAAUGUGGCGUAAAGGCAGGGAUGGUACUUAGUUUGAAGCGGAUUCUUGGCUGAAGAGCGUGAUAUUAAAAAAGGGGGAUGAGGGGCAAGGUCUGUUUUGUUUUGUCUUAUCAUUAAAUCCACAAAUUAAAAUUAAGAAAGUGACUAAAGUGCUCUAGUUCUGAUAUUAGAGAAUCAACUGUAAAGUAUUAGGAUGUCUUGCUGUAGAUUUGUGACUUUACAAAAUUUGAAAUCAGUAAGAACAAAGCACAGCAAAGGAAAUAAAAAAAAA